GAUGAACGCUAGCUACAGGCUUAACACAUGCAAGUCGCGGGGCAGCAUGGGGGUUGCUUGCUACCCCUGAUGGCGACCGGCGCACGGGUGAGUAACGCGUAUCCAACCUGCCCUUCACCACGGGAUAACCCGGCGAAAGUCCGACUAUUACCGUUUGUUGUCCCUUGACGGCAUCCGAUUUGGUCGAAACGCUCGGCGGUGAAUGGGUGGGGAUGCGUCCGAUUAGCUUGACGGCGGGGGAACGGCCCACCGUGGCUACGAUCGGUAGUGGUUAUGAGGGGAAGGUCCCCCACACCGGAACUGAGACACAGACCAGAAUGCUACGGGAGGCAGCAGUGAGGAAUAUUGGGCAAUGGGCGUAAGCCUGAACCAGCCAAGUAGCGUGCAGGAGGACGGCCCUAGGGGUUGUAAACUGCUUUUAUGCGGGGAUAAAGUGGCCCACGGGUGGGCUUUUGCAGGUACCGAAUGAAUAAGGACCGGCUAAUUCCGUG
rnacentral:rRNA from 1 species